AAACAUAGCCCUNAGAAUUAAUUUAGGGUGAGAUCUGCCCUAAUGAUUUUUAAAUGGCCGCGGUACUCUGACCGUGCUAAGGUAGCAUAAUCAGUUGACUUUUAAAUGAAGUCUGGAAUGAAAGAAGAAACGGAAUUCUGCUGUCUCAAUUCCUUUUAUCUGAAUUUACUAAUUAGGUGAAAAGGCCUAAGAUAAGAUAAAAGACGAGAAGACCCUAAGAGUUUAAGAUUUGGUUUUGUUGGGGCAACAAAGGAUCAGUUAAAAUAUCCUUAAAUUUAUGUGACGGAAUUAUCAUGUUUAAAUAAACUACCUUAGGGAUAACAGCAUAAUUCUAUUAUUGAGUUUGUGACCUCGAUGUUGGACUAGGAAGCGUUUAGGCUAGCUGCCUAAAUUGGGGAUUCUGUUCGAAUUUUUACUCCUACGUGAUCU
rnacentral:rRNA from 1 species